AGAGUUUGAUCCUGGCUCAGGAUGAACGCUGGCGGCGUGCCUAACACAUGCAAGUCGAACGGACUUUUCAUGAAGCCUAGCGAUUGAAAAGUUAGUGGCGGACGGGUGAGUAACGCGUGGGUAACCUGCCUUGUACUGGGGGACAACAGUUGGAAACGACUGCUAAUACCGCAUAAGCGCACAGCUUCGCAUGAAGCAGUGUGAAAAACUCCGGUGGUACAAGAUGGACCCGCGUCUGAUUAGCUGGUUGGUGGGGUAACGGCCUACCAAGGCGACGAUCAGUAGCCGGUCUGAGAGGAUGAACGGCCACAUUGGAACUGAGACACGGUCCAGACUCCUACGGGAGGCAGCAGUGGGGAAUCUUCCGCAAUGGGCGCAAGCCUGACGGAGCAACGCCGCGUGAGUGAAGAAGGGUUUCGACUCGUAAAGCUCUGUUGUCGGGGACGAACGUGGAGACGGCGAAUAGCCGUUUCCAAUGACGGUACCUGACGAGGAAGCCACGGCUAACUACGUGCCAGCAGCCGCGGUAAUACGUAGGUGGCGAGCGUUGUCCGGAAUUAUUGGGCGUAAAGGGAGCGCAGGCGGGAAGGUAAGUCUAUCUUAAAAGUGCGGGGCUCAACCCCGUGAGGGGAUGGAAACUAUCUUUCUUGAGUGCAGGAGAGGAAAGCGGAAUUCCUAGUGUAGCGGUGAAAUGCGUAGAUAUUAGGAGGAACACCAGUGGCGAAGGCGGCUUUCUGGACUGUAACUGACGCUGAGGCUCGAAAGCGUGGGGAGCGAACAGGAUUAGAUACCCUGGUAGUCCACGCCGUAAACGAUGAAUGCUAGGUGUAGGAGGUAUCGACCCCUUCUGUGCCGGAGUUAACGCAAUAAGCAUUCCGCCUGGGGAGUACGGCCGCAAGGCUGAAACUCAAAGGAAUUGACGGGGGCCCGCACAAGCGGUGGAGUAUGUGGUUUAAUUCGACGCAACGCGAAGAACCUUACCAGGGCUUGACAUUGAGUGAAAGGACAAGAGAUUGUCCCCUCUCUUCGGAGACACGAAAACAGGUGGUGCAUGGCUGUCGUCAGCUCGUGUCGUGAGAUGUUGGGUUAAGUCCGCAACGAGCGCAACCCCUAUUCUUUGUUGCCAGCACGUUAUGGUGGGAACUCAAAGGAGACUGCCGCGGACAACGCGGAGGAAGGCGGGGAUGACGUCAAGUCAUCAUGCCCCUUAUGUCCUGGGCUACACACGUACUACAAUGGGAUGGACAGAGAGUAGCGAAGCCGCGAGGCCAAGCGAACCCCAUAAACCAUCUCCCAGUUCGGAUUGCAGGCUGCAACCCGCCUGCAUGAAGUUGGAAUCGCUAGUAAUCGCAGGUCAGCAUACUGCGGCGAAUACGUUCCCGGGCCUUGUACACACCGCCCGUCACACCACGGAAGUCAUUCACACCCGAAGCCGGCAGGCUAACCUUUAUGGAGGCAGCCGUCUAAGGUGGGGGCGAUGACUGGGGUGAAGUCGUAACAAGGUA
rnacentral:rRNA from 1 species